ensembl:lncRNA
AGCUGCCUGGCACAGCCCACAGGCCUUUGCUUAUAGCCCAGAAACAGUCAGGCUGCAUUAGCUGAAAAGGAAGACAGCAAUGCAGGCAGCCAGAAUGGAGAGCAGUCUGCAUUCCCUCUUCUGGCAUGUUUGUUAGCAACAACUGAGGAGAGAACUCCUACAGGAUAAAAAAAAAAAAAAAAAAAAAAAAAAGAAGUCUAACAAAUAAAACACUACUGGCUACACACUACUGGCUCACAUUCUAUGAAUUUGACAAGAACAUUAAGUCAUUAUGAGAAAACAGAAAGACAGGAAAUUAUGAGCAACUUUCCAGCAGAAGCAACAGCAACAACAAAACCCCUGAUUAGUUAAAGCCUUGAUAAUUACACCCAGGAUCACCCAGGCAAAUCUUGUUUUGUGCCUUUUGAUAGGUCCAUCUUCCUUUUCUCCCAUCUGUUUAUGUUAGACUUUGCUGAUAAAGUUAAAAGCUGAAAGAUUAGGUAUGUAUAGAUGCACACAUGAAACUCUGAUCCAUGUUCUCACUUAAAGUAUUGCUUUCUUCACCUCUUUCAAAGUUCAUUAAAUGUGGAAUGGAUGCACUGACCCAAAGGUUACUGCAUUUGUAGUAACAAAUACAGUUUCUGCAGCUUUCUUAGGAGGAAGACUAUUUACAUUAUAUUCCCAGAGGUAAUUAGGUAAAGCAUAAACAUUAAUGAUGCAAUCUCUGUCAUUCCUCUAGAAAACAUUGAUUGUGCUGGUUGACUUCAAACAAAUAUACCAAAAGAAGUCUCAGUUAUACAGGAGUUCCUUCAGGUUGCAUGAAGAGAGGUAAGUGGCUAUCUAGAGGAGGAGGAUAGUAUUUCCAAAGUGUUCUAGCCAAGAAAAAGACCUCAACAAUUAAGUUAAAACACCAGAAAACCUGUAAAAGGGAGGUCACUUUUAAAUAACUCAAGUAUGAGGAAAUCUUCAGGGACACUGAUCUGUAGACCAGGCUUCAUUCCUUCAGCUGUUUAUGAAAUGACGCAGUAUUAGACUUUUCCUCCUGGGUCUCAGUCUUCUCAGCUUCCUUCCAGUUAUGAAAUAGUUUGCCAGACUUCAGACUGAUUGCAUGCAUCUCCAAGCUAGAAACAGUAAAAAUCAUCUUCGGGUAGCAAUGUAAAGACAGUACCUGUGUGUCUUGAAAGUCCUAGGGAUCCCCAAGAGUCCUGACACUGAUGAAGCAUCUGUGUUGUACUGACAGGAGCCCCUGGCUACACGCAUUAGCUGGAAGAUCUACAACUCUGACACGCAGCUCUGGCUCCAGAUCAGUUGUAUUGUUCUAUCCUCUUGGCUUUGCCCAAGGCCCUCACCAAAAGCUGCCUCAGGCAGAGAAAGGCAAAGGCCUUCAGAUUUAUUAUUUCUUUUGCUCCUGGUACCUUUAAAAAGUUCACACUGAGAAAUUACUAAUCCCAGUCUUCCAUUUUCUGUCCUCCUAACCUUGGAGAGUGGCAGGGUCAGGAAUAUGCCUUCAUGAACAUUCAAAGCAUUUUGGAGUAUGUUCUCCUACAAGCAAGCAACCAUCCUAUAAUGAUGUGGUAGUUGGUGCCCCAGGUGGAGAAGGUGAUGUUGACCUCUAGUGAUUAGUCUGGGGAUGUCCGGUGGCAUGAUCACAGACUCCUGGGAGCAGCUAGCCAACAAUUUCACUGAAGCUGGCACAUGAACACAGUCUCCCUCUUCAUGGAAUUAAGGAGUUGCACAUCCCUUCCAUGGAACAGAAACACCCAACUGAAACAAAGACCCCCAGAAGGCUGCCUUAUAGCCUCAAAUAUGCACACAGAGAAAUUUAACUAGAGGACAACUGCACAGUGGCUGCAAACUCAAAAGAAAAAAUGCACACAGACUGACAGGACUGAACAAAGCAGUCUGUGGAGACAGACAUCAUGGUAUAAUCCAAAAUCAGAGAUCAGAAAAUCAGAGAGUGAGGAGUCAGUUGAGAAAGCACCUUAGCUGGCAGCAAUGUAUUAAAUAGAUUCCUCAAAACACAGAAAUGAAGCAAAAAAUGACAACUGGGAUUCAUUGCAAAUAAGCAAAACAGCAGAGGAACACCCCAACUAACCAUCUAUUUGUUUGCUAUUAUAACACAAUAGACACAACACUUUGCCAGACUGUAAUGAAAAAUAUUAUUAGACACUUAAAAAUUCAUUACCAGCAAGCUAUGCAUUUGAUUUUUUAAUCUCAUUCAUUCUACAACAUGAAACCACUUUUUCAAUUAUAUUUGAAUAUCAUGUAACUUGUGUUAUAUUGCACAUUCAUAGAAUAAAACCAGAAGACAAUACAUGAUGCCUUAGGAAGUUACUCAGAACUUAUCUACAGAUUCAAAAUAGCAAGUGUUUUGUUUUCACACUUAUUCAAAAUAAAUGAAGAAAAAACCACUUUCCAACAGAGCCAUUCAAGAUACCUGAAGAAAAGAUACUCAAGAAAAGAUCUAACAACAAAAAUUAUUUGAGAACUGGAAAGGAGAGUACAUUUCAAUCUAGUGACACAGCCUAAGUGAUGUAGUGACUUUAGUGCCCCAUGCAGAAUGAGAUACCAGCAAAAGGGAAAUUAGGUGAGCAGAGCAUGCUUCUAGAUAACUAUUCUGACAUGGAUUAGAAGUGGGAAGAUGAUUAAAAGAAAUUAUAUUCCCUCCAGAAUUAAGCUGUUUCUCAAUGGAAAAGGAUUCCUCAUUUCCCAAGAUGUUUUCCAUUUAAUACAACUUUUGUAAUAGUAACAUCCAUCUUAAUAACUUAUUUCUCAGCUUAGACUGAUCAGCAUCAAAACUGGGCAGACACCCUAACAGGAAAAAGUAAAUUGAAACUGCACAUUCUUCAUUCAAAUUCAUACAUUAAAAUAAGGAAUUCCUUAGUGGUUUGCUAUUUGGGUAGUGCAUUUGCUUUGCACACAGUGAGGACAAACUGGUAUUGCUGCCCCCAUAUAUGCUUUCCAUUCUGGUUUCUAGUGUAUUGCUCCACACCACAGAGCAAUACACUAGAAACUGUGUGUUUACAGUCAAACCUCAAGAAGCUUACCUUAUAAUUUGUAUUUAAUUAAUUUAAUGCUUUUUUCAGACGGUCUUUGCAAAGCAGAUGCCGGGAGCUGCAGCCCUGCCACGGCUGCCAGCCGGGCAAUAGCGCCGUCAGGGGGAGACGCAAGGUACCAUUGCCUGAGGUGGUGGAAAGUACGAGAAUGCAGUAAAAACGCCUUAUGCAAGUUCUUGGAGCAUUUCAAAGCUGAAAUAAAUUGGCAUCUCAAUAGGAGAUUAAAAAAUCAAAAAGAAAAACAAAACAUUGCAGAGCUUUUCAAAUGCUCGCUUUAGCUUCCUGGGCAAUAUUUGAUCAUUUCUGAACACUUAACUAGUAGCUUAAUUUUUGAAUCUUUAAUUAUCAUACACACAUACCUUUUACAUUUGUGUAACUGUUCAUAAAUUACUGCAGUCCUUUUGUUAGCGUUCCUUGGCAUAUAGUUUCUCUUUCAACUGGAGAUGUUCUCAGGAUACAUUAUCAUUUUGGGAGGGAAAGGCAAAGACAUGGUUUGACAAAUAUGUCAGGUCCCCAGUUGCACAGGAUGAAUUUUCCAUGUUUCACUGGCAAUGUGAUUCAGUAUCAGUAUAUUCAGCUUACACUAAAACGCUCCUGAUUCUCUAGCAUAUACUUUGGCUGAGAAAAGGUUCAGGUAAAUGUUACUCCCUCCUCACUGACCUCUGGACUUAAAUAACUGCCAAGGAGCCAUUGACUUAACUGUAUUAAGAUGGCAAAAAGUCCAGCUGUUAGCUAAACACUGCUAAGGAUGUGAGAAGAAAUGCUGAUAAGGGGAGACUCUGACCUACAACCAAAGCUUUCCCUUCCAAAUAGUAUUUUUCCGGUACCCUUUGCCAUCUCAAUUCUUUCAACAUACAGUAAGGACAGCCUCUAGAAUGGUUGAGUUUCCUCCCAGUCUGUGUUUCUUACUCCAUGUUUUAUAGUUGGAUAUGGCCACUAUGUAGGUCACUAUGUAUGGCCACUAUGUAGGUCACUAUGUAGUUCUAUCUAUGGAUGAUCAGACGCAGCACAGCCACUGAAACAAUCAGUCCUACUGUGCCCUUCCCAGCUCCUUCUCUCAUGCCAGCACUAGCCUGAAUUCUCUUACAUACCAGGUUGUAAUUUGGUCAUCAGCUGGACCCCAAGAGAGACACAGCAACCACAGUGAUUUAGUAUCUCCCUGACCUCAAUACAGAAGCCAAAGGAAUGUUUACCUAGACACACAGGAGAUAAUUUUCUCUGUCAUCCAGAAGCUUUAGGGGACUCUUUUGCCUGAUGGAAUUAUUAUUAUAAUUAAAACUCACUUAGGGGUGGGCAGUUAAUGAGAAAAGGCAGUUGAAAUCAAAUGGCACACAGUUAAAGACAGAAACCUCUGAAAAAUGCAAGACGAAUUUUACAACUUAAUGGAGCUCAAAGCCUUAUUAACCAUAGCAGAUUUUGGCUGCACAGCUUUGUUAUUUUCUGUUAAAAACCCCAAACCAACCCAAAACAGAACAAAACAGCAGCUUUUUUUCAGGAAAAAAAAAAUUCCCAAACCUCAGCUUGUACUCUGCUCCACUUCUGUUUCGAGUCUGCAGUGUCCUGGAUCAAUACUCCAAGGAACCAAAUGACUGAGAUCUGAACAGAUUAUCCCUGAAGUCUUAAAAGACAAGUUGUCAUGCACUAUUUGCUACUUCACUGCUGACUCAAGAACAUUCAGCUUGUGUGCAUAUUCCACUUCCCCAUCUGCUCACUGCUUCAGCUUCUCUCUGACAGCUGUGCAUUUCCAGAACAAACAUCUUUGAUAUAUUAAGAACUAAGUGCAGGGCAGCGUAAAGCAUUCACCACUUUUCAUCAAGGUAUCAGAAGCACUACUCUAUUCACUAUUAAUUUUUAUUUGUGAGCUUAACUUAUUAAAUGCCUCCAUUUUAACAUAAUAAAUAAUGUAACUAUGUAUGGUAGCCUACUGCAACCUGAAAUGUUAUGUAGAAUUUCAGUCUCCUCUGCUAUGGAAUAUGAGGCUCUGUUUAUAUCAUGGUGGAUCUGUAUAAAUCUAUGGCCAUGAAAAUCAACCUGUUGUAAUAACGUGCUAGCAUUACUAAAUCCAGAAAAACAGGCAGCUAUAGCUGAAAGCAAGACUCAGCAAAUUUAAAAUUUUGUACCUAAGCUUAUCAGUUUUCUCUGAAUCAAUGCAGGAAAGAAUACAUUCUCAGUUCAGAAUGUUUAGUGGAUUUAUUUCUCAAGCCAGCAAAACCACACCCACUUGGCAUAAAAACAGAUUUAAAUCAAAUAAGAUUCAUAAGUGCUUGCCUUUUACAUUGUUGCUCGUUUCUA